rnacentral:rRNA from 1 species
UACGCAGGGGGCUAGCGUUGUUCGGAAUCACUGGGCGUAGAGCGCACGUAGGCGGAUUGUUAAGUCGGGGGUGAAAUCCUGAGGCUCAACCUCAGAACUGCCUUCGAUACUGGCAAUCUCGAGUCCGGAAGAGGUUGGUGGAACAGCUAGUGUAGAGGUGAAAUUCGUAGAUAUUAGCUAGAACACCAGUGGCGAAGGCGGCCAACUGGUCCGGUACUGACGCUGAGGUGCGAAAGCGUGGGGAGCAAACAGG